rnacentral:rRNA from 1 species
UGUGCGGUAAAGCGAAUGAUUAGCGUAUUUGGGGGCGAUUAGCCUUCGGACGAUUCUCAAACUUUCAAUGCGCAAGGGUGUUGCUGCUUAAUUGAGCUUCACCGGUAAAAACGUCGGCCCUGUGGGCCACUUUUGGUAAGCAGAACUGGCGAUACGGGAUGAACCGUAAGCAUGGUUAAGGUGCCAAACUAUUCGCUUAUAGAUCCCACAAAAGGUGUUGAUUCAUCGAGACAGCAGGACGGUGGCCAUGGAAGUCGGAAUCCGCCAAGGAGUGUGUAACAACUCACCUGCCGAAUGAAUUAGCCCUGAAAAUGGAUGGCGCUUAAGCGGAUGACCGACACCAUGCCGUCUGAAUGAUAUAUUUUCAGAUGAGUAGGAGGACGUGGUGAUUGUAACGAAGUAUGUGUGCGAACACGUAUAGAACGAUCACUAGUGCAGAUCUUGGUGGUAGUAGCAAAUAUUCAAGCGAGAUCCUUGAAGGGCGAAGCGGGGAAGGGUUCCACGCUAACAUUGAUUGGGCGUGGGUGAGUCGUUCCUAAGCCGAGUGGCAAUUGCUAAGUAACGGCGAAAGGGAAGCAGGUUUACAUUCCUGCACACGGAUGUGGAGGUGGUGACACUUUAUUGAGGCGAACACAUUGGCGAUGGCGCUAGGCAGAGUUGUCUUUUCUGUUUAACCGUUUGUAUAUAUUGUGUGGAGUCCGAUUAUCGGGAGAAACACAUAUAUACGGGCAGAGCGCCGGGGCUUAUCCGGCGUCUAGCUCGCCAUCGACGAUCCUUGAAACUUUGCCUGCUGAAUUUUUAAUAUCCACGCCGUGGCGUACCGAUCACCGCAUCAGGUCCCCGAGGUGAACAGCCUCUGCUCAAUAUGAAAAAUGCAGGUAAGGGAAGUCGGCAAAUUAGACCCGUAACUUUGGGAAAAGGGUUGGCUCUAGUGCUGCGUGGGAGUGGUUGUCAUGUUGUGGCGUUAUUGAUAUUGUUGAUAUGGCGCGAUACUUCGGUAUUGUUCUUUUCGACUGAUAUUGGUAAUACUGCUCUUGACGACGCCCACAGCAUGCAGCAAACUAGAACUGCAACGGGCAAAGGGAAUCCGACUGUUUAAUUAAAACAAAGCAUUGCGAGGGCC